CCUACGGGUGACAGCAGUGAGGAAUAUUGGUCAAUGGACGAGAGUCUGAACCAGCCAAGUAGCGUGAAGGAUGACUGCCCUAUGGGUUGUAAACUUCUUGUAUAUGGGAAUAAAACGUUCCACGUGUGGGAUUUUGUAUGUACCAUAUGAAUAAGGAUCGGCUAACUCCGUGCCAGCAGCCGCGGUAAUACGGAGGAUCCGAGCGUUAUCCGGAUUUAUUGGGUUUAAAGGGAGCGUAGGUGGAUUGUUAAGUCAGUUGUGAAAGUUUGCGGCUCAACCGUAAAAUUGCAGUUGAAACUGGCAGUCUUGAGUACAGUAGAGGUGGGCGGAAUUCGUGGUGUAGCGGUGAAAUGCUUAGAUAUCACGAAGAACUCCGAUUGCGAAGGCAGUUCACUGGACUGCAACUGACACUGAGGCUCGAAAGUGUGGGUAUCAAACAGGAUUAGAUACCCCAGUAGUC
rnacentral:rRNA from 1 species